AUUGAACGCUGGCGGCAGGCCUAACACAUGCAAGUCGAGCGGCAGCGGGAAAGUAGCUUGCUACUUUUGCCGGCGAGCGGCGGACGGGUGAGUAAUGCCUGGGAAAUUGCCCAGUCGAGGGGGAUAACAGUUGGAAACGACUGCUAAUACCGCAUACGCCCUACGGGGGAAAGCAGAGGACCUUCGGGCCUUGCGCGAUUGGAUAUGCCCAGGUGGGAUUAGCUAGUUGGUGAGGUAAUGGCUCACCAAGGCGACGAUCCCUAGCUGGUCUGAGAGGAUGAUCAGCCACACUGGAACUGAGACACGGUCCAGACUCCUACGGGAGGCAGCAGUGGGGAAUAUUGCACAAUGGGGGAAACCCUGAUGCAGCCAUGCCGCGUGUGUGAAGAAGGCCUUCGGGUUGUAAAGCACUUUCAGCGAGGAGGAAAGGUCAGUAGCUAAUACCUGCUGACUGUGACGUUACUCGCAGAAGAAGCACCGGCUAACUCCGUGCCAGCCGCCGCCGUAAAAC
rnacentral:rRNA from 1 species